AUGCAGAGAUUGUGUGUA
rnacentral:siRNA from 1 species